UCCGUCUUAAGCCAGAAAUCAAGCGAGGUCGAGUUCGAGCCCGAUGGACCAGACUCAAGCUCGAAGACAGAAUGCAAUACCCGAAGAUAGGAGUACGAGGUAUACCGAAUCCGAAUAUGCUCGACCCCAAAAUAAUGUCGUUAUGGGUUUCUAACAGAAUAAGCGAGAUUCCUGUCACAUCCGCAAAAUCAUGGUGCAAAUCUCGAAAUAGGAUUGUACGAUUCCGUACUAGACGGUCAGACAUCUGUACCGAUAAGAUUCUUUACUAAAAAUAGAAAUGUACCUUAUUUAGGGUUCUUCUA
rnacentral:lncRNA from 1 species